GCCAGGUGCGGUGGUGCACACCUGUAAUCCCAGUGUCUUGGGAGGUUGAGACAGGAGGAUUGUGAGUUCAAAGCCAGCCUCAGCAAUGAUGAGGCUCUAAGCAACUCAGUGAGACCCUGUCUCUG
rnacentral:sRNA from 1 species